CCUUCGAGAAGGGAGGAGGAGGAGGAACAUGGCAGGUUACAAUCGUCUCUUGCCAUGUGCUGCCCAAGGAGGUUGAGAGAAUAGCAGAAAAAACAACCUGUUCCAGCCCAGCCCCAGAGCUAGACAUGUCACUGGGAGCAUGAAAAAAAUCCUAGCCCCACCCAGGAGGCUCUCAGAGUUCCAGACCAUCCAUUAAGUGCCCUCUGUGCACCUCUGAGAGGUAACAGUGACCAAGACAGAACUAUCUCUGCCCUUCACUGUCAGAUGAGACAGACAGCUGAGGACAUCACUGCAACCCAGGGCCUUGUGGACUGCAGGGAAGCUGCCUGGUGGAGAAGACUGGGCUGAUCCAUGACGAUGUGGAUACCUUGGCUCCUCCCCAGCUGUGGGGCAGAGGCGCUGUAUGGAGAGUGCUCAGUAAGGUUUUAGAAGGAAGGAAGUCCGGCCCUUCCUGAAUUUCUCCUGGGUCAUGCUCCACCCACUCCCCUGAAGAAAUGGAAAGCAGAUUGUGUGGCUUAAGCAAGAAAACACUGGCAUGCUCUCACAGGCCAUGGAUAUAUGUUUCUGGAUUCUCACCCCUGCCCUGCUGGGAACCUCCAGCUGCCCAGGCCAGAAGUGACAUGAUCAAAAGGGUGAGGAGCUGAAUGGUGGCCUUUCAGGGGUCACAGUGGGGAGGUCACUGGGCUUGUUAGACCUUGUUUCUAGUUCAGCAACGUGCACGCUCGCCUGACCUCGGCGGUGAUAAGGUAGGCAUAUGAGAGGUGCCCUCGGCUCUGAAGAGGACCCAGGAAGCUCCUACAGAAAAGAAACUGAAAGGCAGCUACAAUGAAGCUGUUGAAUGCAGAUCCGACACUUGUUCUGCAGGGGUGAAGGUGUGACCAGAACACUGACUUGCCCUUUCGAUUGACAAUAGUUGGCCGGGAGGUGUGUGGGGGUGUCAGUUAUGUGUCAAAGGCCUGUGGGUGACUCUGCACUCGGUGAUAAUCGGAAAGCAAUUUAUUCACUGAGUGACUUUGGCCAAAUGACCUAAC